rnacentral:rRNA from 1 species
GAUGAACGCUAGCGGGAGGCCUAACACAUGCAAGCCGAGCGGUAGAGAUCUUUCGGGAUCUUGAGAGCGGCGUACGGGUGCGGAACACGUGUGCAACCUGCCUUUAUCUGGGGGAUAGCCUUUCGAAAGGAAGAUUAAUACCCCAUAAUAUAUUGAGUGGCAUCACUUAAUAUUGAAAACUCCGGUGGAUAGAGAUGGGCACGCGCAAGAUUAGAUAGUUGGUGAGGUAACGGCUCACCAAGUCAAUGAUCUUUAGGGGGCCUGAGAGGGUGAUCCCCCACACUGGUACUGAGACACGGACCAGACUCCUACGGGAGGCAGCAGUGAGGAAUAUUGGACAAUGGGUUAGCGCCUGAUCCAGCCAUCCCGCGUGAAGGACGACGGCCCUAUGGGUUGUAAACUUCUUUUGUAUAGGGAUAAACCUACUCUCGUGAGAGUAGCUGAAGGUACUAUACGAAUAAGCACCGGCUAACUCCGUG